rnacentral:rRNA from 1 species
CUCGUAGGCGGUUCAGUAAGUCGGGUGUGAAAGCUCCGAGCUCAACUCGGAGAGGCCACCCGAUACUGCUGUGACUAGAGUCCAGUAGGGGAGCGUGGAAUUCCUGGUGUAGCGGUGAAAUGCGCAGAUAUCAGGAGGAACACCAGCGGCGAAGGCGGCGCUCUGGGCUGGAACUGACGCUGAGGAGCGAAAGCGUGGGUAGCAAACA